rnacentral:rRNA from 1 species
CUACGGGGGGCUCCAGUGGGGAAUAUUGCGCAAUGGGGGAAACCCUGACGCAGCAAUGCCGCGUGAGUGAUUGAAGGUCUUCGGAUCGUAAAGCUCUGUUAUCGGGGAAGAAGAAGUGACGGUACCCGAUGAGAAAGCCCCGGCUAACUACGUGCCAGCAGCCGCGGUAAUACGUAGGGGGCAAGCGUUGUCCGGAAUCACUGGGCGUAAAGGGCGCGUAGGCGGGUUACCAAGUCAGGUGUGAAAGGUCAGAGCUCAACUCUGAGAGUGCACUUGAAACUAGUAACCUUGAGUACUGGAGAGGUAAGCGGAAUUCCUAGUGUAGCGGUGAAAUGCGUAGAGAUUAGGAGGAACACCAGUGGCGAAGGCGGCUUACUGGACAGAUACUGACGCUGAAGUGCGAAAGCGUGGGGAGCGAACAGGAUUAGAUACCCCCGUAGUC